rnacentral:rRNA from 1 species
CCUACGGGCGGCAGCAGUGGGGAAUAUUGCACAAUGGGGGAAACCCUGAUGCAGCGACGCCGCGUGAGUGAAGAAGUAUUUCGGUAUGUAAAGCACUAUCAGCAGGGAAGAAAAUGACGGUACCUGUUUAAUAAGCCCCUGCUAACUACGGCCCAGCAGCCGCGGUAAUACGUAGGGGGCAAGCGUUAUCCGGAUUUACUGGGGGUAAAGGGAGCGGAGACGGCAGCACAAGUCUGGAGUGAAAUGCCGGGGCUUAACCCCGGAACUGAUUUGGAAACUGUGCAGCUAGAGUGCAGGAGAGGUAAGUGGAAUUCCUGGUGUAGCGGUGAAAUGCGUAGAUAUUAGGAGGAACACCAGUGGCGAAGGCGGCUUACUGGACUGUAACUGACGUUGAGGUUCGAAAGCGUGGGGAGCAAACAGGAUUAGAUACCCUAGUAGUC